GUCGAAAAUCCCCCGAGAUCGCGUCGUGUUUAUUUUCAUUAUGGUCGCCUGUUCAGAAGUCAGAGACGAUAUAAUGAAAAUAAUAACUAACCAAUGUCCAUACAUCAUUUGAGGGAUUAAACAUAUAGUAAGGGGGAAAAACAAAAAUGGAGUUACGGCACCCUCUGGCUCUCACGACUUCUAUUGCACAUCUGUCCAUCCUGGAAAAGGAAUCCUUCCUCUGUUGCUCUUCCUGAGAUUUCUUCAAUUUUUCCAUCA